UAGGGAAUCUUCCGCAAUGGACGAAAGUCUGACGGAGCAACGCCGCGUGAGUGAAGAAGGAUUUCGGUUCGUAAAACUCUGUUGUUAGGGAAGAAAAAAUGUAUAGUAACUAUAUACAAAAGAGACGGUACCUAACCAGAAAGCCACGGCUAACUACGUGCCAGCAGCAGCGGUAAUACGUAGGUGGCAAGCGUUGUCCGGAAUUAUUGGGCGUAAAGCGCGCGCAGGUGGUUUAGAAAGUCUGAUGUGAAAGCCCACGGCUCAACCGUGGAGGGUCAUUGGAAACUAAUAAACUUGAGUGCAGGAGAGAAAAGUGGAAUUCCUAGUGUAGCGGUGAAAUGCGUAGAGAUUAGGAGGAACACCGGUGGCGAAAGCGGCUUUUUGGCCUGCAACUGACACUGAGGCGCGAAAGCGUGGGGAGCAAACAGG
rnacentral:rRNA from 1 species